AGGAGACACAGAAUCCAAAGCAGGUUCCGGGCUCGGAGCUGUCUUCGCGGAGCCCGACGCCGAGCUGGAACCCACGAACCGCGAGAUCAUGACCUGAGCGAGAUCAUGAGCGCUCGCUGGCGAGCCUCCCCGACCUGCUCCCGGGGUCACGUGGUCCGCUCCCGGGGUCACGUGGUCCGCUCCCGGAAGAAAGCGAGGGCCUGAGAGGCUGUGUGCGCCAGAGGUUUGCGGCUUAGCUCUUUUCAUUCCUCCCGUGUUGUCGCUGUUUCAAACGCUUCGUGUGGCUUUGGAGGCAAUGGCUUGAGCCUUGAUAAGAUACAGAGAAAUCGGAGGCAAGGAGGCCUGGUGGUAAAUAUGGAGCUUUUAUUUGGCGCCGCAGGUGUCCCUCGGUCCUGCCUGCUCCCGGGGCAGGCACGCCUGUGGGGCCGAGAUGACCUGGAAGGGGGAUGGCCAGAGAGCUGUGCUUGGAGCCCAGCUGCGGAAUAACACUUGGAAACAUAAAACCCAAGGUGGAAAGUGAGAAAGAAACAGAGAAAAACAAAUCCCCGACUCACCCACCGCCGCCUGAAUGAAGGAGGAGUCGACAGAGGACACGGCUGUAGGAUUCUCAUACAUCGACUGGCUCCCUUCCUUGGGUUUAUUCCAUGUGUUAGCGGAAUACCAAUAACAUUGGAAGAAGCAAGAAAGAUGGACAUGAGUUUCACUUUCAAGAGGUUGCCCAAGAACAAGCAGUUGGUUGAGGAGAUGGCUCCAUAGAGGAAACAACAAUUCACUCAAAGCAGCUCAAGGAAAUGGGGCGGGUCGUUGAAAAGAUACGGCCCUUGUGGGAACCUAGGAAAGGUGGAACGGCCACGUCUCAAGUGGAGAGGAACUGAGGCAAGUCGGGGAGGUAAGUGCUCUUGCUCCGGCUCGUUCUCGCUGCACCUGUUCUGUUCUAUUGCCGACCCAUCUGUCUGCCUCACUGUCGUUGCUUCAGCUCGCCACUGAGGCCCGUGCAGUGACGCCACCUGCCCCACAUGAAUGCCCUCGGCGCUCCUCACCUCUGGGCACAGCAGGACACGUCUUCACCGCCAGCACCUACAACCCUUUGUUGCAGGGCAGAUCAACGGUACUAGGGAGUCCACGCCCCUGGGAGCAGGGAGCCGUCCUCAACCAAUGACCAGGAGUUAGCUCCCUCUCCUCUUGGCCAAGAUGACUCCGAGGCACACAGCUGAGUUCCCCAGCAAGAUGAAACUCCAAUUGCCCCCUCUGGAAAUGUGUUUGACUGGCUUGCUCCCUCCCCUUCUCUUCCCCGUUCCCUGACCAGUGCUUGUUGGGAUUGCCUCUCGAGUAAACUCAAGGGUCUACCUCUGCAGAAAUACCUUAAAACAGCCCAUAAUGGCCCUACCCCAGGGCUUACAUGACCAUGCAGUUUGAGGACCCCCAGCCCACUGGCACCUUCAUUCUGUCUCACCUCGUGCAAAUUCCAACGAGAGAGAUUGACCUUCUUUUUUAGUGAGAGUUAAGCUCAUCCUUUUAAGUCAGGCUGCAUUGAGAGAUGGCCGGGACGCCAUGGAUAGCCACCCCCGUCGGCUAACACCCCCGAUCCUGUCAUCUCUAGCAGGAGGGGACAGUCACAAGGUCGGUUGCUCCGUCCGCAGCUCACACUGUGCAGAACGUACCUUGAGUCUCAUCUGGGGCCAUUUGGCUUUCAGGUAACUAUCACCCAGGUGGUUGCAUGGGAAAAUCAACAGGAAAGGCUGUUUAUUGGACAUCAAAUAAUUAUUUUCAAACAGUGCUUUGAUAGGUUAAGCACAAAAGAAUCGGAAACAUAUGGAUUAAAUUUCCAUUGAAAUGCACAUUCGGGUUUGAAAAUUAACAGAAUGUGUGCUUGGGAAGGGAUUCCCCCCACUUUUCUUUUCUUUUCUUUUUUUUCUUUUCUUUUCUUUUCUUUUCUUUUCUUUUCUUUUCUUUUCUUUUCUUUUCUUUCUUCUUCUUCUUUUUUUUUUUUUGCUAAGCCAGAUUAUUUGCAAAAUAAGUCAGGAAUUUUUCACAGCUCAAGCACCCUCCCUUCUACGCCCUGCCUCCCUUCCCUUUAGCUUUUCCCUCACAGAGUUAAUUAAUAAAAGCAACAUUUAUCAAAUAUGACAAGUCAGUCUAUGUACGUGUCACGUGGGGUUGGGGGGAGGUGAUAAUCUGCAGGAUGGAUGCAUUUCAGGGAGACCGGAGGUCAUCAGUGCUGCGAUGACUCAUACCCAUUGCACAUACCCCAUGUGUCAAGCACACUGUGCUAAGCACUUAAUAUGACCAUUUAGCCCCAGGAGACCCCAGCACGAAGGCGCUCUGUCCCCAUUCCUCAUUUACAGAUUAGAAAGUGAGAUUUAAGGUUAGUGGUAUAUUUCCCAGGAGCCAAUAGCUACUAAGUAGCAGAGCCAACAUUUGAACUCUCUCCUUCUAUCUUCAGAAACCACUGGGUUUCUGAUCCCUCUUUCUCUGUGAGUGGAGACUCCUACAACCUCAGAGUCAGAACAGGGUUCUAAUACCAACCGUUCGUUUCACAAAAGAGGAAACUGAGGCCCAGAGAGGUGAGAGAUCAAGCUAGAUGGGUAUGUUUGGGAGGCUUGUUUAGACAGACAAGCUAUUAAUCAGCAGCAUUCAUCUGGUAGCUUUUCCAAGUGUUAGAAAUUGGAAAUACGCAAAGGAGAAAACCCUUGGUUAUAGCUGUAAUGUCUAGUAUUCCAGUUCCUGUCCCUGGCUCUUUGGAUGGGAAUUGUUUAUAUGAGAUACAGUCAGAAGGGUGAGAUUUGUUUACCACCAGGCUUGUGAUAAUAUUGGGAGUUCCCAGGUCUGGUCUUCUACCUAAGCCAAAUGGAUAACAUUACAUCUAGUGGAGAUCUGAAGGCCAGCGGAUGGCCCACAAGUCCUAAAAUGUGUUUCCCAACCCCUGCCUUGCUACCCGAUAUUUCCAACAAUAGUCCUUCCUUUUACAGUGUGGUGUCUCCAGGUCGUCCAAGGUCUAAUGAAAAUGUGUUGCAAAGGAAGGAGAACAGUUUAGACUCUAAAAGUGAAUCAACUUAAUGGCUUUCUGGUCCCAGAGGUCACAGUUCUUAGGGAGAGGGAUGUGCUUUGUCCCUGUCCAGGAAGCCAGAGGGAGGGGACCAUUCAGCUGACUGGUGUCCCCUGGUCAGACCCACAGCCACAUAGAGACAUUGUCAUUGUCAAGGUUGUUCUGGCUGCAAGGGAGAGAAACCUGCUCAAACUACACCAAGCCCUAAGUGGAGGGCUUCAAUAAGGACAUGGGAGUUUCUUAUGCAACCCCAGAGAAAGCAAGGCAGCUGAGCCCCAGAACCAGAAAGACAUCAGGUAUCAGGGACACUACUCUUUCAGACUUUCUCUGGUCCAGGCUUGCAUGGUAUCUUGUCUCUGCUUCUCUCUGAGGCUCCGCAGACCAGUUCUCUGCUUCUGGACAAACUUGGCAGAGGAUAACCACACCAGAUGGUACCACAAGGAGUCCAGUUUGAAAGACUAAUGACAAUUGCUGCGUCCUAAUUGCCAUUUCCUGAGAGAGAACAUAUAAUUUAUCCAGCUUCAGUUUCCUAUAAACUCUUGGUCCCAUCCCCUGCCGCCAGGCAAUCUGGAUCCCCACUACGACCACAGCUGCAUGGGUCAACUCCUGCGGGUGGAAGGGAGCGGGGUGGCCUGGAAAGAAAUCCCCAAAGCUGUGAUACCUUGGAGAAUGUUGCGGAGACCGCUGGCUGCUCCCCAGUCUUUCUGUUCCCUUUCUUCGACAGCAGUAGAGCCCUUUGAUGCUUCCUGGGGGAUAUGCUCUUCCAGAAUAAAGACCCUAUUUCCCAGCUUCCCUUGUGACUUCCCAGCUAAGCCCAUGUGACUCAGCUCCAGCCAAUGGGAUAUAAACAGAGGUGGUGUGUACGAAUUCCAGGGAGGGGUCUUUACCAGGAGGAGCGAUGCUAUCUCCUUCCCUUUCAUGGCAGAUUGGACAUGAUGUUUAGAGAUGAAAUAACCAUCCUGAACCAGUACAAACCACACGUUCAUGAUGGCAGAGCGGAGGUUAUGAUGGAGUCUGAGACUCUGCUGACUGUAGGCAGCUGUGCCAGCCAGGACUGCUCAGGGACUUCCUUGAGGCAGAGAGACAAACAUCUGUCUUGUUUGGGUUUCCUAUCACUCUCAGCCAAACCUGGUCCUUUAAACUAGAGGGCAUACAAGGUAGCAAACCUGGGAAUAUGCUGCCUUUCCAUAUUUUAUAGUUCCGGUGCACAUGCGUGCUCAUGUACACACACACACACACACACACACACACACACACACACAGUCACCAUAGAGCAAAGGUGGAGAGAGCCUUUCUUUGGCUUGCAUCAUCUCUAAACUACAUCUUCUUUCUUACAUCUGCUGCAAGGCCUGUGGCUUCUGUAUCUUCCUCCUUGCGGGCAUUUGAAGUCCACUGAGGGAUUAUCUGGGGAGAUAUUCAAGACUUCUAGGAGGAUUUCUUCCUAAUGGACAGAUUCUUUCUCCUCCUAAUGAUGGGUGAGCUUCUGGAGACCACCGAAGCCCUUUGUUCUCUGUUCUCAAGGAGACAAACUGUUAUUUUUGUUUUCCCUCUGAAGAAGCUUCUUGUCCGAUGGGUGCAAUAUCACAAAUAAUUAUGCCAAAUAGCAAUGCAAGUCCCACUAGAAAUAAUGCAUCCAUUAUUUCAUUUUAUCCUUGUCGUUAGAGCUUCUGCUUAAUUUAAGUUAGAAUAAAGAUAGCUGUGGGUAUUCCCUGCCGGAGAACUCUAAUCAUGCUCUUUAUUGAAUAUUUGCCAUUUCCUAUCUGAAUCUUCCUCUCUUGAUCCAUUGUUUCACAAUUAAGAAGUUCUGCUGCUAUUUUGAUCUCACAUAAAACCUCUGUAGUUCCACAGAUGCCUGUUCCUGGGCGUCCCUUAUGUCUUGGGGAGACAUCUGAGAGUAGGGUUGAAAGGCUAAUGUGUUCUGGUAACUUGGUGGUUUUAGUCGUGUUAAUGAAAGAAAGGCUUCGUACAGAGUCACCCGGUGGUCUGAGAAAGUUAAGGAAGUCACUCAGAUACCUGAGACAGAGGGCAGGAAUGAGGACCAUCUGUACGAGUGUCUCUUUCCAUAACCAGAAGGUGGGUUGGAGGGAUGUGGGGGAUCUGGCCAGCAACUGGUCCCCCUCCCCCAACAAAUAUUUGCUAAAGGGUUGAUGUGCGUGAGAUAUUAAAAUAAACAGUAUCCACUAGAGACAACAUGUUGGUAAAAUGCUAGGGAAGGCAAUAACAUCAAAGGUAUAUAAUAUCUAGUUUAUGCUUCCAUUCUGUGUUGUUGCCUCUAAGGAAAUCCUCAUAAUGCCAUCAGCCAACAAAGGAGUGAUAGGUGAAAACCCAGUAUGUCUGACAUUUGCCAGAUGUCAUGAAUCAGAUAGUAAGAAAAGAUGCAUUUUCUGACCCCCUGAAGGGACCUUCUAAUUCAGUCUCAAGGAGGGAGUGAUAUAACCACGAUAGACUGAUACAUUCAUAAAUAGUAAGAAUGACUCAAUCAGUCGGGAUAUCUAUCACCAAAUGAUGGGGACCAGCUAAAAAUAAUUUCAGGGGCCAAGGUGAAAGGCAUGGCCGAGGGCUCCUUAAAGGCGUUAGAUCUCUCGGCAGAUCAUAUGGGUAGAUUCCAAAUGAGUAUCAGAGAUGAGAUUAUAACAUGAUAUGAUAUAUGAUGCAUAACAUAAUAUAAUACAACACAGUACAAUAUAAUACAAUACGAUAUAAUACAAUACUGGUAGUGCUCUGGAGUCAGACAGACCAGGGAUCAAAUCCCAUCUUCACACAGUAGCUGUGCCUGCAACCUUGACCAAAUUACUGAACUUCUCUUUGAAGCCCCAGCUUCCUCACAUGGAAAACAGGACUGAUAAUAACAACAGGACCUAUAUUACAGGAUUUUGUGAGGAUUAGAUGAGAUAACACACAUAAAAUGGUUGACUUAUAGUAAUGCCCAUAGAUCUUAGUUAUUGUAUAUGGGUAGUGAUAAUAGGCCUAGGGUUAAAGGCUGUAGCAGAUACAUAUUUAGUUACUCAUUUACAGCUGUUUACUGAGUAUCCACUUUGGGCCAGCCCUGGGGAUGCAUUGACGAGUGGAAAAGAAUGACGGUUCUGCUCUCUCUGGGCUUAUAGCAUAAAAGGAGAGAUAUAUAUCAAUCAACAGUGACACUGUGGAUCCAUGAGCAUAAAUGGAGAGACAUACUUUCAAAGGAGGGAUCACAGUUCGGUGAGAGCAAAGCAAAGGAAGCUGACCCAAACCGGGCAUCCAGGAAGGCUUCCCGGGGGAUGUGCAGACCGAGCUGAAGGCUAAGGAUUGGGAGGAAGCUUGUGAGGGAAGGGGAGAGGAGAGAACGUGUCGCAAAGACAAAGAGAAGGGCAGGAGCGAAGGCAAGUUGCCGGCCCGGGGAGGGGUGGGUAGCAGGUGGUCGGCUGAAGCUGGAGAUGGGGGUGAGGGCCUCUGAGUCAUGGCCAGGGUAGGGGUCGGCAACAGGAAGGUUGAAGAUGGAGAGAGGAACGGCAGGAGGGAGACAUCCAGACUAUGGUGGCCCCGGAACCCACAUUAAGGAUGUUGAUCUUUACUCCUCCAGCAGGGGGUGCUACAUCUGAUUUGAGUUUCAAGAAGGUCCUAUGGAGGCAGGCCUCAAAUGUCGUUCUGCCUCCUCCUCUCAGUUCAUCCUCCCAACCACUCACAGCCAAAUUACAGUGAAUUAUGUGGAAGCCACUUCCAUGGCUUCUGUCUGAUCUUCCCGCAGAGAUCACAGACCCUCCAAGGGCCAGAGAUGUGUGCUCCGUGCACUACCCACAGUGACGCACAGUCUUGAAAACAGUAGGCGCUUUGAGGGAGCACAUACCUGACUAUAAUAAGGCAAAGCCAAGUGGAAGGCAAUGUCUCACUUUCCACAGAGAAAGCCUAGUUGAAUAUAGGCCCUUUUAUGAAAUAGUACAAUGUUUACUUCCAUACUGAAUGGAUCAAUUUACUUGCAUCUUAUAUAAAGUAGUAAUAGUUAUAUUUAGAAAUAUCAUUC